ensembl:snRNA U6 U6 spliceosomal RNA
AUGCUCAUUUCAGCAGCACAUACACUAAAAUUGGAAUAAAGAGAAGAUUAGCAUGGCCCCUGUGCAAGGAUGACACACAAAUUCAUGAAGCAUUCCAUAUUUUU